GACUAGUUGCCAGCAUUUAGUUGGGCACUCUAGUAAGACUGCCGGUGACAAACCGGAGGAAGGUGGGGAUGACGUCAAAUCAUCAUGCCCCUUAUGACCUGGGCUACACACGUGCUACAAUGGAUGGUACAACGAGUUGCGAGACCGCGAGGUCAAGCUAAUCUCUUAAAGCCAUUCUCAGUUCGGACUGUAGGCUGCAACUCGCCUACACGAAGUCGGAAUCGCUAGUAAUCGCGGAUCAGCACGCCGCGGUGAAUACGUUCCCGGGCCUUGUACACACCGCCCGUCACACCAUGAGAGUUUGUAACACCCGAAGCCGGUGGCGUAACCCUUUUAGGGAGCGAGCCGUCUAAGGUGGGACAAAUGAUUAGGGUGAAGUCGUAACAAGGUAGCCGUAGGAGAACCUGCGGCUGGAUCACCUCCUUUCU
rnacentral:rRNA from 2 species